GGGUUGCAGAGUCGCUCAGUGCUCUUGCCGGUCUCCUGCAACAGACGGACUGCACAGACGAAGCGCGGAAGAAAGCUGGGGAGUAAAAAAGCUCCCAACAAGACAAGCCUGGCAAUGUGAGAAGAAGCUCAACAUGAGAGCGACGCUCGGAGUGACCCGCUGCGCUGCUGCUGCCUCCCUCGCUUCUGACCUUCCAAGACUGGAGAGGAGAGGGGAUGAACUGGAACAAAACCGAGCCGCUCCAAGCAUGGCUCUCCAGAAGAGAGAGCCGCUCCAAGCAUGGCUCUCCAGAAUAGACAGCAGCAGACAGGAGACCUCCAGCAAAUGAAGGAGCCCCAACAAGAGCAUUGCAGCCCCCUAAUCUCACUGCUGCAACAACGAGAUGAGAGAAUGAGCAGCUCCACACAGAGCUAGAACAAACAGAGGAGCAAGGAGAGAAACAGAGCUUCACAACCUCCAAAAGAACAGAGAGCAAACGCAGAGCUUCAACCUCCAAAAGAACAGAGAGAGAGAGAGCAAAUGGAGCUUCAACCUCCAAAAGAGCAAACCCA